rnacentral:misc_RNA from 1 species
GUGUGCGUAUUGGCGACACGGCUUCCGUAUUUCGGCCUCACUGUACACACGCUCUUCAACGCGCCAAGGUCACUGGUGCGCCUGUCUUUCUCUCGUUGCUGCCUCCGCCUCUCUCUCGCACGGGCCGCUCUGCUUUGUCCUUUUGCGAGGGCACUACAAAGUAGGUGGCUGCUACCUUCUGGUUCGCCGUUCUCAGGCAAAACUCUGCGAAUCAUGGCCGUCGUCCUGCACACCACCGUAGGGGACCUUCCGGUGCUGCUCCAUUAUCAGACAUGCCCGCUCGCCUCCUUUAACUUCCUUGCGCUCUGCGCCUCGGGUUACUACGACGGGUGCACCUUCUAUCGGCACUUCCCUGGCAUUCUGCUGCAGACUGGUGAUCCGACGAACACCGGAAAAGGCGGCGAAUCCAUCUUUGCCCAGCUACCCUUUGUCGCCAAUACCGCUGACGGCGACGAAGGUGGUGAUGCGGUGUCAUCGGAGGCCGCGUCUGUAGCUGCCGCGGGCAUCCUUCCGGGACGGUACUUUCACGACGAGGGCUUUGGUGUCACCACGCACGCACAGCGCGGCACCCUCUCCAUGGCCCACAAGGGCACCAGGGCGGAUACGAACGCCUCUCAGUUUUUCAUUACUACCAGUCCGCAGUCAUCCUUCGAUGGCUUUUACACUGCCUUCGGCGUGGUGGACCUGAACGGUGUCUACUCGGCUUCUGAGGCCGCCGUGGUGGCAGAGGUGGCGAGCUGCCCAGAAGGGGAGGUGGCCGGAAGCUUUUUAGCCACAGCUGAGCCUGACGCAGUUGGCGGCGCAGCGCCCAGGUGCGGAGACGCCGUGCUGACGGCAUUGGAGGUCGCUUCCGCAAAGGUCGACGAAAAGAACGUUGUCCAGCUGGCGUCCCGCGCUCGCAUCACUAACGUUACCGUUCUCUACAACCCCUUCGCUGAGGGAAAGAUGAAGCUGUAGUCAGCAGCAGCACGUAGUCCGCCCCCCCCCCCUUCAGUUGUCGUGAGGGCUCGCAUCGUGACCGAAUUGGGCGUCCAUGCUGGCUGCUGCUUUGCCAAGUCCUAAAUUAAAAAAAAUAUGUACUUGGCUGUACAACGCUCUCCUCCGCACGCGAUCAGAGUUCGGCUAUCCCUGGGGGCCUGGCGCUUCGGCUGCGCGAGCGGACCAGCGCUCCUUGCCGGAUUGCUAUGGAGCGCUCAGCCAUCUGGCGGGCUACCCUUUCGUCCCAUCUUUACGAGCACCUUUAUCCGCAUCUUGGCGUUUAUGAUCAUGGGCGGCCAUGAGUUUGAUGAGGCCGGCUUCCCUCCCUCCAUCUUUCGCCAUCGCGCUUCCAGCGCGACCGCACCUUUCUCCAUCGCACCGCUAUCCCGCUUCAUUGCACCUCUCGCUUUCUUCGUUGUUGUUCUUCGCUGUGUGACCGCACGUCUCACAAG